rnacentral:rRNA from 1 species
AGAGCGAACGCUGGCGGCAGGCCUAACACAUGCAAGUCGAGCGCCCGUAGCAAUACGGGAGCGGCAGACGGGAUAGUAACACGUGGGAACGCGCCCUUCGGUUCGGAAUAACUCAGGGAAACUUGAGCUAAUACCGAAUACGCCCUUACGGGGAAAGAUUUAUUGCCGAAGGAACGGCCCGCGUCCGAUUAGCUAGUUGGUGAGGUAAUGGCUCACCAAGGCUACGAUCGGUAGCUGGUCUGAGAGGAUGACCAGCAUCACUGGGACUGAGACACGGCCCAGACUCCUACGGGAGGCAGCAGUGGGGAAUAUGGACAAUGGGCGCAAGCCUGAUCCAGCCAUGCCGCGUGGAUGAUGAAGGCCUUAGGGUUGUAAAGUCCGUUUUAACGGGGAAGAUAAUGACGGUACCCGUAGAAUAAGCCCCGGCUAACUUCGUGCCAGCAGCCGC